rnacentral:rRNA from 1 species
UACGUAGGGUGCAAGCGUUGUCCGGAAUUAUUGGGCGUAAAGAGCUCGUAGGCGGUCUGUCGCGUCUGCUGUGAAAACUCGGGGCUUAACCCCGGGCCUGCAGUGGGUACGGGCAGACUAGAGUGCGGUAGGGGAGACUGGAAUUCCUGGUGUAGCGGUGAAAUGCGUAGAGAUCAGGCGGAACACCCGUGCGAAGGCGGCCAGCUGGGCCGUCCCUGACGCUGAGGCGCGAAGGCGUGGGGAGCGGAAC